AGGAACCUGCCUUGGAGAGGGGAAUAACACAGAGAAAUUUGUGCUAAUACCGCAUGAUGCAGUUGGGUCGCAUGGCUCUGACUGCCAAAGAUUUUAUCGCUCUGAGAUGGCCUCGCGUCUGAUUAGCUAGUUGGUGGGGCAACGGCCCACCAAGGCGACGAUCAGUAGCCGGACUGAGAGGUUGACCGGCCACAUUGGGACUGAGACACGGCCCAGACUCCUACGGGAGGCAGCAUG
rnacentral:rRNA from 1 species